CAGUAGCCGCGGGAAAACGAGGGGUGCAAGCGUUAUUCGGAUUGAUUGGGUGUAAAGGGUGUGCAGACGGCUUAUUAAGUCACUUGUUAAAUUCCUCGGCCUAACUGAAGGUCUGCAAGUGAUACUGAUGAGCUAGAGGGUGGAAGAGAGAAGUGGAAUUCUCGGAGUAGCGGUAAAAUGCGUAGAUCUCGAGAGGAACACCAAUGGCGAAGGCAGCUUCUUGGUCCAUUCCUGACGUUCAUACACGAAAGCGUGGGGAGCAAACAGGAUUAGAUACCCCGGUAGUCCCUGUCUCUUAUAC
rnacentral:rRNA from 1 species